AAAAUGACACAGCUUUAUAAUUAAAUUGAAACAAAAGUUAGGCGUUCGCUAAAGAUUGGAGAGUGUGAAUCAAAAUACACCAAACUGUGGAGUGAGUUGUCAGAUUCAACUGCUCACAGGUGGUGAGGUCAUAGUCUGAAAAUGCAGGGCAAGCAAGAAGAAGUGGAAUUUAAAUUUGUGGAUUAUACACUUGCUUUAGCUGCAUUUAGAUGCGAUUCAGAGACUGCAAGGAAAGCAAAUGUUGUGGCGGUAAAUAACAAUUAAAUCGAAGACCAU